rnacentral:rRNA from 1 species
AUUGAACGCUGGCGGCAUGCCUUACACAUGCAAGUCGAACGGUAACAGGUCUUCGGAUGCUGACGAGUGGCGAACGGGUGAGUAAUACAUCGGAACGUGCCCGAUCGUGGGGGAUAACGCAGCGAAAGCUGUGCUAAUACCGCAUACGAUCUACGGAUGAAAGCGGGGGGAUCGCAAGACCUCGCGCGGACGGAGCGGCCGAUGGCAGAUUAGGUAGUUGGUGGGAUAAAAGCUUACCAAGCCGACGAUCUGUAGCUGGUCUGAGAGGACGACCAGCCACACUGGGACUGAGACACGGCCCAGACUCCUACGGGAGGCAGCAGUGGGGAAUUUUGGACAAUGGGCGCAAGCCUGAUCCAGCCAUGCCGCGUGCAGGAUGAAGGCCUUCGGGUUGUAAACUGUCUUUUUACGGUAACGUAAAGGUACCUUUUCUAAUAAAGAGGGCUCAUGACGGUACCGUAAGAAUAAGACACCGGCUAACUACGUGCCAGCAGCCGAC